UACUCUGAUACUGUGAAGAAUACU
rnacentral:miRNA from 1 species